GAUGAACGCUGGCGGCGUGCCUAAUACAUGCAAGUCGAGCGAACAGACGAGGAGCUUGCUCCUCUGACGUUAGCGGCGGACGGGUGAGUAAUACGUGGAUAACCUACCUAUAAGACUGGGAUAACUUCGGGAAACCGGAGCUAAUACCGGAUAAUAUAUUGAACCGUAUGGUUUAAUAGUGAAAGACGGUUUUGCUGUCACUUAUAGAUGGUUCCGCGCCGCAUUAGCUAGUUGGUAAGGUAACGGCUUACCAAGGCAACGAUGCGUAGCCGACCUGAGAGGGUGAUCGGCCACACUGGAACUGAAACACGGUCCAGACUCCUACGGGAGGCAGCAGUAGGGAAUCUUCCGCAAUGGGCGAAAGCUUGACGGAGCAACGCCGCGUGAGUGAUGAAGGUCUUCGGAUCGUAAAUCUCUGUUAUUAGGGAAGAACAAAUGUGUAAGUAACUAUGCACGUCUUGACGGUACCUUAUCAGAAAGCCACGGCUAACUACGUG
rnacentral:rRNA from 1 species